UUAAUUGAAACCAAAAUAGAGGUAUAUUACUGUUAAUAAUAAAAAUGGGAUUUAUCCCCAAUUAAA
rnacentral:tRNA from 1 species